AGAUAAGAAACCGAAAUUGCAUAACAGAAGUCCGUCCCGCGUGUCGGGUGUCGGGUAUAAAAUUUCAGAUCAGUAUUAGAUGCAACAGCCGACCUUGCUCUCACUGAAAGAACCAUUUAGACUCCAUCAGCGGGAAGGAUGAAGUACGUUACGAUCUUCCUCGUGUUGUCACUGGUCGUCCUCAUGGCCGAUCCCGGGGAUUGUUUUUUUAAAAACAUAUGGAGAGGGGCCAAAGCCAUAUUCAAAGGAGCCAGGCGAGGGUGGAAAGAACACAGAGCCAUUGCGAGGAACCACAGAGGGCAGGAGCAACAAGGACAGCAAGCCGACAACGAUGAAGGUCAGCCAUAUUGGCAGGACUGAAUCAGUUGACCCCGAAGACAUCGGGCUUUAGCUUUCUACUUUGCACGGCAAGAAGCAAACAAACGGGUAGUCCGAGAAAUCUGUAAUGAGAAUUGAUUUUGACUCUGGUGCAAAUAGUUUUUAAACAAGCCAAAUAAUGCCGAAUAAUAUAAUGCCUGUCCCGCUGAAUAAAGCUGUAAUGCAUCUC